rnacentral:rRNA from 1 species
UACGGAGGGUGCGAGCGUUGUCCGGAAUCACUGGGCGUAAAGGGCGCGUAGGCGGCGCGGGUAGUCGUCGGUGAAAGCUCAGGGCUCAACCCUGAGUCGGCCGGUGAUACUCCCGUGCUCGAGCACUGUAGAGGCAGGUGGAAUUCCGGGUGUAGCGGUGGAAUGCGUAGAUAUCUGGAGGAACACCGGUGGCGAAGGCGGCAUCCUGGACUACUACUGACGCUGAGGAGCGAAAGCCAGGGGAGCAAACGGG